rnacentral:sRNA from 1 species
UUUGUAAGGAUUACAACGGUGACUAUCUGUUCGGCGUUUUUAAACCACAAUGGAAGUACAGAAGGUGUCCAUCCCUCCUGGGAAGAUCUCCUCCUCACGAUGGGAAAGAUCACCGAAUACUCCGUCUUUUCGUCCGUCCGCAAAGCGGCUGCAAACGUAAACCAGGAAAGCUCGGGGCUCAGUUGUCUCGCCCAAACAUGUAUGGUGAGAGCUGUCAGACUGGCCUCUGCCCACCUAAACUACACCACCAAACCCGCCAUCAUCUUUAAGAUUGCCGCUAGCCUGAUAAAGGAUACGGUCAUGUCACACAAGUCAGGUGACUUCAGAAAAAACAAAACAAAACAGAAAACCAAUGAUGAAAAUGAAAAACUAUAAACAACAAAAACGGAAUGCAACUUGUUAGUAAUAGUACAGUUAUGUACAUGACUAAAAAAACAGAAUGUUCUUGAUCAUCAUCUCUGAACCUGAUGAGGAUAUUCUCAUUUUUUUACAGUAAUGUUAUCAUCAUGUUAAAGUUCUUGAGUGAAAUUUUAUUUCUGUUGGUACCAAUCUUGUUAAGCAGCUGAAUUCAUUGUACAUAUGGCAUUUCUCUCAUCAAUCUUCAUCAUCAUUAUCAUGAUUUCAUCGUUGUGUAUUCACUGAUAUAAUCGCACGGAUAUAUUGACGGAUAUCAUUCCUGUAGUAAAAUGUGACAGCUUAUAUCAAGGAGGCUUUUUUCUUUUUCCUUUUUUUUAAAGCGUAGGAUAUUACCUAAAAACUCAAUUCAUGGUUCAAUUUGAUUUUUGUUUUGAAAUUAAUGGUCUUCUUUUUCACUUCAAGUGAACUAGAACUGACUUUUUAACUAGGUAUAAAAAAGGUUUACAUAUGUUGAAAUUUUUACAGGUACAUGUAAAUGUACACUGUAUAUUAAGAAUUGCAGAGAAGUUACAUGUUUUUGCUGAGGAUUUAAUACUUGUAUUCCUACUAGAGAGACAAUUGUUGUUAAACUGCAAUUCUUUGUUUAUUAUUUUUUUUUGUUAUGAGAAAAUAAGUGUUGAUGGCUUUUAAUUCUAGUAAUCAAUUUAAUUGUUUUAGAAGAACAUGUAUUAGGCGUAGAGGAAGGAGAGAAUCUGUGUAUUACAGUUGAUUGACUUACUCAUGAGUUGUGUGUACAAACAUUUACAACAUUAUUGUUUUAAAAUGUAAAAAAAAAAAUCCUAAUAUCUGC